UAAAUACUCCCUCCGUCCGAAAAUACUUGUCCUAGAAAUAGUUGUAUCUAUACUUAUUUUAGUUAUAGAUACAUCCACUUUAUCCAUUUCUAGAAUAAGUAUUUCCGGACGGAGGGAAUAUUUG
rfam:Triticum aestivum genome assembly, contig: Triticum_aestivum_CS42_TGACv1_scaffold_544877_6DS